rnacentral:tRNA from 1 species
UAGUAUAUAGUUUAUUUAAAAAUUUUAAGUUUGGAGUUUAAGGAAAUUUUACUAA